rnacentral:rRNA from 1 species
AGAGUUUGAUCCUGGCUCAGAACGAACGUUGGCGGCAUGGAUUAGGCAUGCAAGUCGAACGAAUGCCGGGGUAGCAAUACCUCGGCGGAAGUGGCGAAAGGGGCAGUAAUACAUGAAUAACCUACCCUGGGGUUGGGCAUAGCCGUUCUAACGGACGGGUAAUUCCCAGCGAUUCGGCGGUGCCGGCAUCGGUACACCGGGAAAGAAUUUCGCCUCGGGAGGGGUUCAUGAGCUAUCAGCUAGUUGGGGGGGUAACGGCCCACCAAGGCGUAGACGGCUAGCGGGUGUGAGAGCACGACCCGCGCCACUGGCACUGAGACACUGGCCAGACACCUACGGGUGGCUGCAGUCGAGGAUCUUCGUCAAUGGGCGCAAGCCUGAACGAGCGAUGCCGCGUGAGCGAUGAAGGCCUUCGGGUUGUAAAGCUCAAAAGGGAUGAGAAAGGGAAACUUGAUCGAAUCCCAGUAAGCUCGGGCUAAGUUCGUGCCAGCAGCCGCGGUAAGACGAACCGAGCGAACGUUGUUCGGAAUCACUGGGCUUAAAGGGCGCGUAGGCGGGUUCAUAANUCUGUGGUGGAAUCCUCCGGCUCAACCGGAGAACUGCCUCNGAUACUGUGGGGCCUCGAGGGUGAUAGGGGUAUGCNGAACUAUCGGNUGGGAGCGGUGAAAUGCGUUGAUAUC